GCAUCAUUCGCGCCCACACGAAUCCCCCAGGGUCCCUGUCGUAUUUAGCCGGUGGCUCUCCCGUUCGUUUGACUGGACAUUCAUAGGAGAGUCACACACACAACCUGCAGAGGCACACAAACGCGCGGCACACUAAAACCCGCCAUCAAGCCUGUAAUUUAUUUAACUUCUGGAGAGACACCCCCAGAGUCCCGGAUGGGCAGUGGCAGG
rnacentral:lncRNA from 1 species